GAUGAACGCUGGCGGCGUGCCUAAUACAUGCAAGUCGAGCGAACAGACGGGGACCUUGCUCCUCUGACGAUAGCGGCACGCGGGUGAGUAACGCGUGGAUACCCUACCUAUAAGACUGGGAUAAAUUCGGGAAACCGGAGAUAAUCCCGGGUCAUAUAUUAAACCGCAUUGUUCGAUAGUAAAGGACGGCUUUGCCGUUACUAGUAGAUGGAUCCGUGCCGUAUGAGGUAGUUGGUAAAGCGACGGCUUACGAAGGCAACGAUUCGUCGCCGACCUGAGAGGGUGAUCGGCCACUCUGAAAGUGAGACGCGCCCCAGACCCAUACGGGAGGCAGGUGUAGGGAAUCUGCCGCAAUGGGCGAAAGCGUGACGGAGCAACGCCGCGUGAGUGAUGAAGGUCUUCGUAGCGUAAAACUCUUUUAUUAGGGAAGAGAAAAUGUGUAAGUAACUAUGCAAGUGUGGACGGUACCUAAUCAGAAAGCCACGCUUAACUACGG
rnacentral:rRNA from 1 species